rnacentral:rRNA from 1 species
GUGGGGAAUAUUGGACAAUGGGCGCAAGCCUGAUCCAGCCAUACCGCGUGGGUGAAGAAGGCCUUCGGGUUGUAAAGCCCUUUUGUUGGGAAAGAAAUCCUGUCGGUUAAUACCUGGCGGGGAUGACGGUACCCAAAGAAUAAGCACCGGCUAACUUCGUGCCAGCAGCCGCGGUAAUACGAAGGGUGCAAGCGUUACUCGGAAUUACUGGGCGUAAAGCGUGCGUAGGUGGUGGUUUAAGUCCGUUGUGAAAGCCCUGGGCUCAACCUGGGAAUUGCAGUGGAUACUGGAUCACUAGAGUGUGGUAGAGGGAUGCGGAAUUUCUGGUGUAGCAGUGAAAUGCGUAGAGAUCAGAAGGAACAUCCGCGGCGAAGGCGGCAUCCUGGGCCAACACUGACACUGAGGCACGAAAGCGUGGGGAGCAAACAGGAUUAGAAACCCCUGUAGUCC